rnacentral:lncRNA from 1 species
CGAGCCCAAAUACGACCACCACGUCGCGCACCACGUAGCUCAUCGACCUCCACGGGUCCUUCACCCAGCAAUGCUUGGGUAUGGCCGCUCGAAUCUCAGCCAGCCCGAACGGCGGCGGCAUCCCGGGGUCGAAAGCUGCCUCCUUCCCGUCACUCCCCUUCAAGGAGGGCUCCCCGCUGCCCUCGCCGGACUCCCUCUCAUCCUCCAAGGGCGCCACCUGCAACGGCGCGCUCACGCGGAGCGCCCACUCCCUGCGGCCGCCGAGACCGACGGUGGGGGAGAAGAGGGGCCUCCUCUUCAAGGGCUUGAGGCUAGCGGCGGGUAGGAGGCCGGAGUUGGGGCGACGGAGGGAUGCGGGGAGGGGCCUG